rnacentral:SRP_RNA from 1 species
GCUGGGUGUGGUAGCUCACACCUGUAAUCCUAGCACUUUAGGAGGCUGAGGCAGGAGGAUCCCUUGAGCUCAGGAGUUUUGAGACCAGCCUGGGCAACAUAGGGAGACCUUGUCUCUA